UGAGGCAGGAGAAUUGCUUGAACCCAGGAGGUGGAGGUUGCAGUGAGCCGAGAUCUCGCCACUGCACUCCAGCCUGGGUGACAGAGCGAGACUCCGUCUCA
rnacentral:miRNA from 1 species